GACGAACCGAGCGAACGUUGUUCGGAAUCACUGGGCUUAAAGGGCGCGUAGGCGGGUGCUCAAGUCCGCGGUGAAAUCCUCCGGCUCAACCGGAGAACUGCCUCGGAUACUGGGCGUCUCGAGUGUGGUAGGGGUAUGCGGAACUAUCGGUGGAGCGGUGAAAUGCUUAGAUAUCGUCAAGAACACCGAUAGUGUAGACAGCUUACUAGGCUUCAACUGACGCUGAGGCACGAAAGUGUGGGGAUCAAACAGG
rnacentral:rRNA from 1 species